CAGGAUGUAACACAGGACAGCUUCAGGAAGAAGACCAAAGGAUUAAGUUGCAGGAUGCGACACAGGACAGCUUCAGGAAGAAGACCAAAGGAUUAAGUUACAGGAUGUAACACAGGACAGCUUCAGGAAGAAGACCAAAGGAUUAAGUUACAGGAUGUAACAUAGAAAUAAAUCAGGAUCGAUUUAUUGUGCCAGGAAGGUAAAAGGACACUCCGAUGGAUUGGGAAGUGGAAAUUUAACGGAAUAAAUAGAGUCAGGAUUUAGCAGGGUUGCUACGCGUUUCAUGGAUUGAGAGAUAGAGACUUUAGGGCGGCACACUGUGCCGCCUUUUCUAUAU
rnacentral:other from 1 species